UAUGUAACAUGAGCAUAGAUGAAAUUAUUUUUCGCCUUCUUUGAUAUUUUUUUUCCCAACAAAUAUACGUUUUUCUAACACUCGAACAUUAAAUUAUGCCUUUGGAAACCAACACAUAUUUUUUCAAGCCCUUGUUAAAUAUGCUCCUUUCGAAAGGAACGCCCGGUCAGCGAAAUUGUCCGACUGACUGUGCAAUGUGGAAUACUACGGCUUCCUGUCGAAUGUCUGUCAGUUGUUAAGUUAUGUUGGCCGUCGUAGCUUCGACACAAACUCCGAGGGACAGAGAUUUUACCAGUAGUAAUAGAAAUUUUCUAUCAGACAUAGACCUCUUCAGAACGGCUGUGGAAACUCGUGUAGUCAUCCGAGGUUGGCCUUCGCUGUCUCCUGGUAUAAAUACCCCCGUGUGAAGAGUUACCCGUCUGUUGCUCGACAAGUACCGUGAAUGACUAUCUCCCUAUCGGUCAAAUGUUCUCUAAUUGUUAUGAAUUUUGAUGGCAUUGAAGUUUUGCAGCCGUCGUUUAUUGGAUGCACUAUGCACCAGGAAUCUGGUUGUGACUUUAGCAGUCUUUGUUGAGGUUAUUUAACAAUGAUACAACAUGUGGAGUACUAUUUAUUAUUUUUGGGACACCGUAUUGCAGAUAGAUCUACUGGAAGUGAAUAAUUUAUGGAAACUGAUGCUAGGCUUUAUUUCAAUUUGUCUAGUUUACCGGUACUUGGUCCGGCCAAUAAAUUACGUAAAAGACUUGGAAUCUGUGGGCUACUGGUAUUUAAAUAAAGGUGUUUACUCAAAGCAAGAUGGCACUAAAUUGGCAAAGAACGGCAGAAAUUUAGGAAAACUGCCCCCUGUUUUUCCAAAUGGGUGGUUCAUGAUUGCCGAGUCAUCCGACAUAGCUGUAAAUCAAGUACUUCAUAUUUCAGCAUUGGGAGAAAACUUUGUUUUGUUUCGUUCUGCUGAUAGGCAAUGUCAUGUACUUGACGCCUAUUGCCCCCAUCUAGGCGCCAAUAUGGGCAUUGGUGGAAAAGUACACGGGGACUGCAUCGAAUGUCCUUUUCAUCAGUGGAGGUUCAGCGGCAUAACUGGAAAAUGCAUAUCAGUGCCGUACUCUAGCAAAGUGCCAAAUUUUGCUGAAGUGAAAUGCUGGAAUGUUCAUGAGAUUAACGAUAUGAUUUUUGUUUGGUACCAUUCUGAAGAUGAGCCCCCAACAUGGUACCCAAACUCAGUAGAUAGUAUCGAAAAUAGGAAGUUCAUUUACAGAGGAAGAAACCAGUUCUUGGUCAAUUGCCAUAUCCAGGAUAUUCCUGAAAAUGGUAGUGACUUAUGGCAUUUUAAUGCUGUCCAUGGAGCUUCAAUGCUGACAGGCAGUGACAUCCAUCAAACAGAAGCCACUUGGUGUAAAUUCUUUCGCCACAACUGGAGCGCAGAAUGGGAACCUGGCGGUGAACCUAGUAUGAAGCAUAUUGGUUUUGGUAAACUUUCACAUUUCAUCAGUCUUUUUGGAAAGAUUAAAUUAGCAUCAUUGACUGUGGAUAUAGAACAGAUUGGCCCGGGUUAUGUGAUUAUGCGUAUGCACACUACUAUUGGACCAAUGGUCAUUUUACAAGCUGUAACUCCUGUUGAGCCGAUGAUACAGAAAGUGGUUCAUAGAUUCUAUUGCCCCAUUUAUCUCGCUUUGUAUGCUACAUUAACUCUAGUGGCUGAGAGUAUAAUGAAAAAAAACAUUUAGACAACAAUGGGACAAUAAACAAAAAUCGGUGAUUCGUUUGGCAUUUGCCCAAAAGCGAUUCUCGCCUGGUGGCUUAAUUGAUGAUAGGUGUUGCGUCUGUUGAAAGCAAAUGUACCGCCGUUCAAACAGAAAGGCACGACCCCAAUUUCAGCUAUGCAAUCAUGUUUGAUGAUUAAAAAACUUAUUGCCAACUAUGCGUCGACAUCAGCAUCACGUAAAGAAGGUAAAGACAUUUAGGUUAGGUGGAUGUUGACAAUGUGUCGCAUGUUGGUUUUUAAUUAAAUUGAAAAAAAAAUUGGGGAAAUAGUCACAAUAUGUACAUAGAAGUAUAAAAAAUAAAAAAAUUAUGAGCACAGAAAAAGACAAAUGACAUCUUAGAUAUGUAGCAGCCUCUGUGUGUAGCAGUGAAUGUGUUAGCAGAUGACUUUUAAGAAUGAAAUCUGUUUAAACUUAACUAAACUUACACAAGAUAUUACUGUGACCACCUUCCACAUACGAGUGGAACUUUGAGGUUCUGCCAAGCCAUCCAGCAUAACACACAUCCAAUAUUGGCAAACAAAACUCCUAGAACAAAACGUAAAAGCGCCUUACUACGUCUCUCACCUUCUCAGCAACUUCAACAUUCCCAUUGUCAGCGAACUGUUCUGUUGCUCCUUCUAAUAGGUUUACACCAACCAUUCAACCUACUACCAAAGCCUGCUCUAUGCUUUCCCAUCCUGAGAACUCUGAAUUAGAAUUGACUCCCUGUCAGCAAAAGACACAUCAAGGCAUAUGUGGACAAACUGUUAAAUUUAUCUUCCAUAAAUUAAAUGGAAAUCUUCAGUCACUACUUGUUAUCUAGAAGAAGUUUCUUGACAAAGGAAUACUUUUUACUAUCGUCUGUUUUCUCAUUACCUUACAAUAUUACAUUUUAAAUCAACAUAUUGUGUAUAUGUUACUCAGUCAUUACUGGUUUUUGAAUAAAAAUGAAAUAAUAUAAAACCUCGCAAACCUUAAAUUGAAACUGUUAACAGCUAAGUCAAUUCAGCACUCAACGCAUGCAGGUUCGAACCCAUUCAGAUUCACAUUCAUUCUUAAAUACAUUCACUCCUAUUUACAUACCAUUCAUUUGAUUAGGGUGAUGGAGUACUCGAUAUUCCUCCAUCACCCUUUACACAUAUUAUACAACUAGCCUGAUUGAGGAUUGAUAGGGUCCUCGAUAUUCCAACAUCGACCUUCUCACAUCACACAUUCAUGCUAAUAAAUAUAUUUACUCUCAACACAACCUUUAGACAUACCA